rnacentral:misc_RNA from 1 species
GUUGAAGCUGAGAAGAAAGGCUUAGGAAGAACUCUCUUUGAACGCCUUGCAGACUUGUAUGGUGAUGAAGUUACUUCUAUGCUCACUGUCCAGUACCGAAUGCAUGAACUUAUUAUGAACUGGUCAUCUAAGGAGCUGUAUGAUAGUAAGAUCAAGGCCCAUGCUAGUGUUGCUGCACAUAAGCUUCUUGAUCUUGAACGUGUAAAGAGGUCUUCAUCCACGGAACAGACCCUUCUUCUCAUAGACAUUGCUGGAUGUGACAUGGAGGAAAAGAAAGAUGAAGAAGAUAGCACAUUGAAUGAAGGAGAAGCUGAAGUUGCUGUGGCCCAUGCAAAGAGACUUGUUGAGAGUGGUGUUCAGGCUUCUGAUAUUGGAAUAAUUACCCCUUAUGCAGCUCAGGUUGUCUUGCUGAAGAUAUUGAAGAGCAAUGAAGAUAAGCUAAAGGAUAUGGAAAUCUCAACAGUUGAUGGUUUCCAAGGCCGAGAGAAGGAAGCCAUUAUUAUUUCUAUGGUUCGAUCAAACUCAAAGAAAGAGGUGGGGUUUUUGAGUGAUCACAGACGAAUGAAUGUAGCUGUGACACGGGCAAGAAGACAGUGUUGCCUUGUCUGUGACACCGAGACAGUGGUUAGUGAUGCGUUCUUAAAAAGAUUGAUUGAAUACUUUGAGGAACACGGUGAGUAUCUAAGUGCCUCAGAGUACCGCAAUGAAUAAUCAAAUAUCCGAGGAGAAGGCCUUUGCAAUGUUGCAUCAGGGAUCACGAUAUCGUUCCUUAAAUGUAUUAGGGGCAAAAGAAAUAUGUUAUUCUCUUAAAAAUUGAUUUUACUUGGCAUCAUAUAUCUAUAGCAACUAAAAGAACUUUGUUAAUCAGAAUUUUGAGACCAGUCUUAGCCGG